GAUGAACGCUGGCGGCGUGCCUAAUACACGCAAGUCGAGCGAACAGACGAGGAGCUUGCUCCUCUGACGUUAGCGGCGGACGGGUGAGUAACACGUGGAUAACCUACCUAUAAGACUGGGAUAACUUCGGGAAACCGGAGCUAAUACCGGAUAAUAUAUUGAACCGCAUGGUUCAAUAGUGAAAGACGGUUUUGCUGUCACUUAUAGAUGGAUCCGCGCCGCAUUAGCUAGUUGGUAAGGUAACGGCUUACCAAGGCAACGAUGCGUAGCCGACAUGAGAGGGUGAUCGGCCACACUGGAACUGAGACACGGUCCAGACUCCUACGGGAGGCAGCAGUAGGGAAUCUUCCGCAAUGGGCGAAAGCCUGACGGAGCAACGCCGCGUGAGUGAUGAAGGUCUUCGGAUCGUAAAACUCUGUUAUUAGGGAAGAACAAAUGUGUAAGUAACUAUGCACGUCUUGACGGUACCUAAUCAGAAAGCCACGGCUAACUACGUG
rnacentral:rRNA from 1 species